UGUGGCUCAUCGGUAGAGUACUUGUGUAGCAAGCAUGAGGGUCUGGGUUCCAUCCCCAGCA
rnacentral:tRNA from 1 species